rnacentral:rRNA from 1 species
CCUACGGGUGGCAGCAGUAGGGAAUUUUCGUCAAUGGGCGCAAGCCUGAACGAGCAAUGCCGCGUGAACGAGGAAGGUCUUCGGAUCGUAAAGUUCUGUUGAAGGGGAAAAAGAGCGGAGAGAGGAAAUGCUUUCUGAUUGAUAUUACCCUUCGAGGAAGUCACGGCUAACUACGUGCCAGCAGCCGCGGUAAUACGUAGGUGGCGAGCGUUAUCCGGAAUGAUUGGGCGUAAAGGGUGCGUAGGCGGCCUGCUAAGUCUGGAGUGAAAGGUACCGGCUCAACCGGUACAGGCUCUGGAAACUGGCGGGCUAGAGAGCAGGAGAGGGCGGUGGAACUCCAUGUGUAGCGGUAAAAUGCGUAGAUAUAUGGAAGAACAUCAGUGGCGAAGGCAUCUCACGAAUCCGCGAUUGACGCUGAUGCACGAAAGCGUGGGUAUCAAACAGGAUUAGAUACCCCAGUAGUC